UACGGAGGGUGCAAACGUUGCUCGGAAUCAUUGGGCGUAAAGCGCACGUAGGCGGACUGUUAAGUCGGAUGUGAAAUCCCUCAGCUUAACCGAGGAAGUGCACUCGAAACUGGCAGUCUUGAGUAUGGAAGAGGGUCGCGGAAUUCCCGGUGUAGAGGUGAAAUUCGUAGAUAUCGGGAGGAACACCAGUGGCGAAGGCGGCGACCUGGGCCAAUACUGACGCUGAGGUGCGAAAGCGUGGGGAGCAAACAGG
rnacentral:rRNA from 1 species